UGAAAUCAGAGAUCACUCGCUUGUGAAUAUGGGGGAAAGAACCCAUUUUUACCGCAAGGAUUUAAUGUGAUGUUGAUGAACAGAGGGAAAGGGCAAAACCCAAGGCAAAGUGGUCAGAGGGCAAUCCUGUGAGUGACAUUUGAAGCCAGCACCCCGGGGGCUGAAUUACCUGCCUAUGAAUGACUGUGCCACAGCUUCACCCAACUGCCCUCUGAAGUGAGUUCGUAGCAUCAUCCAAGUACAUGAACAUCAUUCUUUUGAAAAAGUUCCUGUAGUAAUACCAUCUAGAAAUGUGUGCCAUGGAACUUCAGGAAAACUCAUAUCAAGUGGAAGCAUCUUCUGUAUGAAAUUUCUCUUGAACUGAAACUAAAAUGGGUUCCUUUGGUAACCGGGAGAAAUGUCUGCCAAAAAUUCUUUUGGCACUAACGAGUACGUCCCUACUCAGGAAAGCAACUUGAAAGACCAUUUAAAACGUGUGCUGGCUGGCCGGGCCUAGGAUCAGUAUUUGUUCAGAUUAUCAAAACAUAUGGAAAGUCCUGGCUGCAGAUGGCAGCAUCACACUAAUGCAUCCUUUCCAAAGCCUCCCAGGGCUGAUGUGUGAGAAAGAGCCAUAAAAGCUCUUUGGUGCCCGGAGGACUACAGUUCACUCACUUUAAAAAACAGCCAGAAGUUUUCAUUUUUGGGAGUGAAAACUUGCCUCGACUCUGCAGGCAUCCAUUUCUAAAGUCGCUGUGAUCAGACUUAUUUGUGGGGCUUGGGAGACAGACACGAUGAAUGUGUAUUUUAUUAAAGCUCAAUUGUAGGGCCCUUGAAAACACAGAUUUGUCAGCAUUUCACAUUAAUAGGCUUUUUAUUUGUUUGUUUUUCUUCCUGAUUUAUAGACAGCACCCCAUUAUAGAGGCAAUAUAUCUUCAUUUAAAUAACUUUCAAGUUAUUUAUGACUGGCAAGGACUUUGAGGCUGGGGUGUUUUACUUUGUUUUAUUUUUAUUAAGAAGUUCAUUCUGGUUCUAGGGAUAACAGUAGAAAUAAAAGCAAUUUAACAGAGUUCCCUGGAUGAUUGAAAUAAUCUGAGUUAAUUGCAUGACGGAUCCAAAUUUUUCAGGAGAAUGUUUUCAUUUCCAGCUAUAUUCUAACUUAAAUUUAUAAUGAAAAUGAUACGUAUCAAUAAAUGAUGAAAGCUCAUUAUGUGACAGAUACUAUGUAAGACUCUUUUAUGUCCUAUUUCAUUUAACUCUUGCUACACAUCCA
rnacentral:lncRNA from 1 species